ensembl:lncRNA
UUAUUACAAGUUUAAUUCAGCUUUUAAAUGAAAUGUCAUUUCAGUUUUUGUUAAUAUUUUGAAUUAGAUUUUAUUUUUCUAUUUUCUGCUUUAAUGAUCAUCUUAGUCAAAAUUUUAGUAAUUCUUUUUUUUAAGUUUUUGUUGUUUUUAUUACUUUUAUUUCAGUUUAAUUUUAGUUAGUAUAUCAAGUUAAACUAAAUGAAAAUAGGUAAUGUUGCAUUGGAAACUUGCCGGGGUUUUUUUUUUCCACACAUUUAUUUUAGUUUAAGUUAACUGUAAUAACUCUGCUUUAACAAUGUCUUGAAAUUUCCAUAAUUUACAGAUAAACAAAAGUUUAGCUUUUGGGAUUGUUUUGUGUGAUCACACACACACACACACACACACACACACACACACACACACACACACAUACUGUAUAUAUAAAAAACCAAUAACUCAUUGAUAACUCAUGUUUUUUUCAUUGUGCAUUCCAAUUAAUCUCAAUCUAACUGCAGUUGAGGUAUUUUGAUUACGUUAAAAAAAUAAUUUAAAAAAGUAAUUUAACAAAUAUUUUCUUUUUGUUUUAAGCAUAAACAUAACAAAUAAUACUUUUUCAUAAAUAUUUCAAUACAUAUUUAAUAAAUAAGAUGUAAUAUCUUGUGUCGUUUCACUUUCUAAGAAAAGGUUUUUGUUUUGCGGCGUUUAGAUAUUUUUAGUGGAUAGCAAGAUAAAAAUGCAGUGCACAGCGCAGUUACUCAGUGCUACCACAAGUGGCGCUAUAGUAGACAUUUAUAUAAACUCUCUUCUACCUUCAGUUUUGUAUUUCGGAUAAACGAUGGAGCAACCCUCUGAAGAGAAUCUGAACAACAUCACAUCCAGUUUAAGUUCUCAGACAUUUGAAGCAGAUAUAUAGGCAUCUACGACCCAUGAAAACUAUCACGUCAAUAGAACGUAACUGAGAAAAGGCCCAUGUUUACCCCGGAUUACAGUCGAUGCAUGACCAGCCCUCAAAGAUAUAAGCUUUCAAACUUUAGAGCAGCACCACAAAUCUACAAUAUGUACUCCAAGUCCAGAAGAAAGGCCUGAAGUUCAGGUAGAACAAUAGUUUUACUAAAGCAGUUU